rnacentral:rRNA from 1 species
UGCAGUCGAACGCUGAAGCUUGGUGCUUGCACUGGGUGGAUGAGUGGCGAACGGGUGAGUAAUACGUGAGUAACCUGCCCUUGACUCUGGGAUAAGCCUGGGAAACUGGGUCUAAUACUGGAUACGACAUGUCACCGCAUGGUGGUGUGUGGAAAGGGUUUUACUGGUUUUGGAUGGGCUCACGGCCUAUCAGCUUGUUGGUGGGGUAAUGGCUCACCAAGGCGACGACGGGUAGCCGGCCUGAGAGGGUGACCGGCCACACUGGGACUGAGACACGGCCCAGACUCCUACGGGAGGCAGCAGUGGGGAAUAUUGCACAAUGGGCGAAAGCCUGAUGCAGCGACGCCGCGUGAGGGAUGACGGCCUUCGGGUUGUAAACCUCUUUCAGCACGGAAGAAGCGAAAGUGACGGUACGUGCAGAAGAAGCGCCGGCUAACUACGUGCCAGCAGCCGCGGUAAUACGUAGGGCGCAAGCGUUGUCCGGAAUUAUUGGGCGUAAAGAGCUCGUAGGCGGUUUGUCGCGUCUGCUGUGAAAGCCCGGGGCUUAACCCCGGGUGUGCAGUGGGUACGGGCAGACUUGAGUGCAGUAGGGGAGACUGGAAUUCCUGGUGUAGCGGUGAAAUGCGCAGAUAUCAGGAGGAACACCGAUGGCGAAGGCAGGUCUCUGGGCUGUUACUGACGCUGAGGAGCGAAAGCAUGGGGA